GUGCUUGCUUCAGCAGCACAUAUACUAAAAUUGGAAUGAUGCGGAGAAGAUCAGCAUGGCCCCUGCUCAAGAAUGACAAGUAAGUUCGUGAAGUGUUCCAUAUUAAA
ensembl:snRNA U6 U6 spliceosomal RNA